AGAACGAACGCUGGCGGCAUGCCUAAUACAUGCAAGUCGAACGAACACUUCGGUGUUAGUGGCGCACGGGUGCGUAACGCGUGGGAAUCUGCCCUUGGGUUCGGAAUAACAGUUGGAAACGACUGCUAAUACCGGAUGAUAUCGAAAGAUCAAAGAUUUAUCGCCCAGGGAUGAGCCCGCGUAGGAUUAGCUAGUUGGUGAGGUAAAGGCUCACCAAGGCGACGAUCCUUAGCUGGUCUGAGAGGAUGAUCAGCCACACUGGGACUGAGACACGGCCCAGACUCCUACGGGAGGCAGCAGUAGGGAAUAGUGGACAAUGGGCGCAAGCCUGAUCCAGCAAUGCCGCGUGAGUGAUGAAGGCCGUUAGGGUGUAAAGCUCUUUACCGAGAUGAUAAUAGACAGUAGU
rnacentral:rRNA from 1 species